GCCAGUGUGGUUCAGUGGUUUGAGUGGUGGGCUAGGAUGCCGGAGACCAGGGUUUGAAUCCCUGCUCAGCCA